rnacentral:rRNA from 1 species
AGCAGUAGCCGCGGUAAUACAGAGGGUGCGAGCGUUAAUCGGAUUUACUGGGCGUAAAGCGUGCGUAGGCGGCUUUUUAAGUCGGAUGUGAAAUCCCUGAGCUUAACUUAGGAAUUGCAUUCGAUACUGGGAAGCUAGAGUAUGGGAGAGGAUGGUAGAAUUCCAGGUGUAGCGGUGAAAUGCGUAGAGAUCUGGAGGAAUACCGAUGGCGAAGGCAGCCAUCUGGCCUAAUACUGACGCUGAGGUACGAAAGCAUGGGGAGCAAACAGGAUUAGAUACCCUAGUAGUCCCUGUCUCUUAUAC